UCGCCAGACUCCUACGGGAGGCAGCAGUGGGGAAUAUUGCACAAUGGGGGAAACCCUGAUGCAGCAACGCCGCGUGAGUGAAGAAGGUUUUCGGAUUGUAAAGCUCUGUUAGCAGGGAAGAGGAAGGACGGUACCUGCAGAGGAAGCCACGGCUAACUACGUGCCAGCAGCCGCGGUAAUACGUAGGGAGCAAGCGUUGUCCGGAAUUACUGGGCGUAAAGGGCGCGUAGGUGGGCGCUUAAGUCAGGUGUGAAAACUCCGGGCUCAACCUGGAGACUGCACUUGAAACUGGGUGUCUUGAGGGCAGGAGAGGAAAGUGGAAUUCCUAGUGUAGCGGUGAAAUGCGUAGAUAUUAGGAGGAACACCAGUGGCGAAGGCGACUUUCUGGACUGUACCUGACGCUGAGGCGCGAAAGCGUGGGUAGCGAACGGGAUUAGAUACCCGUGUA
rnacentral:rRNA from 1 species